UAUCUUAUGGCGCGAAUCUGCGCAAUGGCUCAUGCAUUCAUUGAUAGUCCACUUGAGCGCAUCUUUAUACAUGGAUAACCGUAGUAAAUCUAGAGCUAAUACAUGCUAAAAAUCCUGGACGCGGCAACGCGGAAGGGACGAGUUUAUUAGAUUAAAAACCGACACCUCUCCGCGAGGGGAGGUAGCACAGGUGAUUCACAGUAACCGAUCGGAUCGUCGGCCCCGCCGACGACGAUGCAUACGAGUUUCUGCCCUAUCAACUUUAGAUGGUAGAGUAUCGGUCUACCAUGGUCGUAACGGGUGACGGGGGAUUAGGGUUCGAUUCCGGAGAGGGAGCCUGAGAAACGGCUACCACUUCCAAGGAAGGCAGCAGGCGCGCAAAUUACCCAAUCCCGACACGGGGAGGUAGUGACAAGAAAUACCAUUGUAAUGUCUCCUCGAGAGGCUUACGAUUGGAAUGAGUACAAUUUAAAUCCCUUAACGAGUACGGAUU
rnacentral:rRNA from 1 species